GGGCGUAAGAGCUCGUAGGCGGUCUGUCGCGUCGGAUGUGAAAGCCUGGGGCUUAACCCCGGGUCUGCAUUCGAUACGGGCAGACUAGAGUGUGGUAGGGGAGAUCGGAAUUCCUGGUGUAGCGGUGAAAUGCGCAGAUAUCAGGAGGAACACCGGUGGCGAAGGCGGAUCUCUGGGCCAUUACUGACGCUGAGGAGCGAAAGCGUGGGGAGCGAACAGGAUUAGAUACCCUGGUAGUCCACGCCGUAAACGGUGGGAACUAGGUGUUGGCGACAUUCCACGUCGUCGGUGCCGCAGCUAACGCAUUAAGUUCCCCGCCUGGGGAGUACGGCCGCAAGGCUAAAACUCAUAGGAAUUGACGGGAGCCCGCAUAAACAGCGGAGCAUGUGGCUUAAUUCGACGCAGCGCAAAAAACCUUACCAAGGUUUGACCUACACCGG
rnacentral:rRNA from 1 species